rnacentral:rRNA from 1 species
AUUGAACGCUGGCGGCAUGCUUUACACAUGCAAGUCGAACGGUAACAGGUCUUCGGAUGCUGACGAGUGGCGAACGGGUGAGUAAUGUAUCGGAACGUGCCCAGUAGUGGGGGAUAACUACUCGAAAGAGUGGCUAAUACCGCAUGAGAACUGAGGUUGAAAGCGGGGGACCUUCGGGCCUCGCGCUACUGGAGCGGCCGAUAUCAGAUUAGGUAGUUGGUGGGGUGAAGGCCUACCAAGCCGACGAUCUGUAGCUGGUCUGAGAGGACGACCAGCUACACUGGGACUGAGACACGGCCCAGACUCCUACGGGAGGCAGCAGUGGGGAAUUUUGGACAAUGGACGCAAGUCUGAUCCAGCAAUGCCGCGUGCAGGACGAAGGCCUUCGGGUUGUAAACUGCUUUUGUACAGAACGAAAAGGCUCUGGUUAAUACCUGGGACUCAUGACGGUACUGUAAGAAUAAGCACCGGCUAACUACGUGCCAGCAGCCGUCGG